GACAGAGGAUGCAAGCGUUAUCCGGAAUGAUUGGGCGUAAAGCGUCUGUAGGUGGCUUUUCAAGUCCGCCGUCAAAUCCCAGGGCUCAACCCUGGACAGGCGGUGGAAACUACCAAGCUGGAGUACGGUAGGGGCAGAGGGAAUUUACGGUGUAGCGGUGAAAUGCGUAGAGAUCAGGAAGAACACCCGUGGCGCAAGCGGCCACCUGGCCAAGAGCUGACGCUGAGGCACGAGAGCGUGGGGAGCGAACCGG
rnacentral:rRNA from 1 species